rnacentral:pre_miRNA from 11 species
UUCUGAUAAAGCUUGCCUGUGAAAGACCCCCAGAGUUGGGAGACCCUCACUCAAGUCUCGGGAUAAGCCGACACCCCAAUAAUUCAAGAGAGGCA